UGGGGUCCUUUGGCCAGGUCGCUUCUCCCUUUUCUAGGGUUCUUACGGGUUUUAUGAUUUUAGGGUAUUCCUUUCAUCUUCUUGUUCUUCCUCCCUUUCUUCCAGAGAUCUACCGUGGAAGUCGUAGGGUGCAAGGCUCAUGGAGCUAUCCCACAAUCGGGGUUUGUGGUCAUCGCUCGAGUAAGCAAGCAAGCUGUUGCAUCCAAUCUCCUAUUGUG
rnacentral:lncRNA from 1 species